rnacentral:rRNA from 1 species
UGGAGAGUUUGAUCCUGGCUCAGGACGAACGCUGGCGGCGUGCCUAAUACAUGCAAGUAGAACGCUGACUACUUUAGCUUGCUAGAGUAGAAGGAGUUGCGAACGGGUGAGUAACGCGUAGGUAACCUGCCUACUAGCGGGGGAUAACUAUUGGAAACGAUAGCUAAUACCGCAUAACAGUGUUUAACACAUGUUAGAUGCUUGAAAGGUGCAAUUGCAUCACUAGUAGAUGGACCUGCGUUGUAUUAGCUAGUUGGUGGGGUAACGGCCCACCAAGGCGACGAUACAUAGCCGACCUGAGAGGGUGAUCGGCCACACUGGGACUGAGACACGGCCCAGACUCCUACGGGAGGCAGCAGUAGGGAAUCUUCGGCAAUGGGGGCAACCCUGACCGAGCAACGCCGCGUGAGUGAAGAAGGUUUUCGGAUCGUAAAGCUCUGUUGUAAGAGAAGAACGUGUGUGAGAGUGGAAAGUUCACACAGUGACGGUAACUUACCAGAAAGGGACGGCUAACUACGUGCCAGCAGCCGCGGUA